rnacentral:rRNA from 1 species
UGGGGAAUUUUGCACAAUGGGGGAAACCCUGAUGCAGCGACGCCGCGUGGGGGAUGAAGGCCUUCGGGUUGUAAACUUCUUUUGCUCUGAACAAGGCAUGCCUUUGGGGUGUGUUGAGUGUAGGGGUUGAUUAGCGCCGGCUAACUACGUGCCAGCAGCCGCGGUAAUACGUAGGGCGCGAGCGUUGUCCGGAAUUAUUGGGCGUAAAGGGCUUGUAGGUGGCUGGUUGCGUCUGUCGUGAAAGCUCAUGGCUUAACUGUGGGUUUGCGGUGGGUACGGGCUGGCUUGAGUGCAGUAGGGGAGGCUGGAAUUCCUGGUGUAGCGGUGGAAUGCGCAGAUAUCAGGAGGAAUACCGGUGGCGAAGGCGGGUCUCUGGGCUGUUACUGACGCUGAGGAGCGAAAGCGUGGGGAGCGAACAGG